GUGCUCGCGUCGCGGCACAUACGCCAAAAAUUGGAACAAGAGUAGAUGAGCACAGCCCCUGCGCGAGGAUGACACGCAAAUUCGUGAAGCAUUCCAUAUUAAC